GUUUACUUAACCCAUCACUAGGUGGCACUGCUGUUAACCGACUGUGGAUGUUGUGGUUUCUGUUCCUUCACUUGUGGCUCAGAUCCACACCUGCCUUCAUUUGUCUGUGUGACUUCCUGUGCACACCAGUGCCCCCUAGAGGAGGAGUCUCUCACCAUGUGACCAAUGCAGGAUAGUUAUGAAAGGCCAACACCGUGAGCUGUACUUUGAAGCGUUUAUGGAUGUCAUUCCUGGCCGCUCUCAGACCCCCCCAGCCCCCACCCCCGCUCUGCCGUAGCUCUUAGUGUCAUGUGACACUUCUACGUGUGACUGAAUGCACAAAUGUGUCCGAGACCCCGCUGAGUAAGUUUACGCUGGUCGUCAAUCAUCGUCCCGGCCAGUUGGCUGCGGCCGGCGGGCAGGUGGUCCCGUCAGAGCCGCGGCCUCAGUCACGCGGCGCUGAAACCCGAGACCUCGGGGACGAGCGGCGUCUGUCAGGGCCCACGUCAACCGGUGCUUACUGGGGGCUAUUUUGACUGAUACCUUAGAGAAGAGUCGGGGUUGAAGUUGAAGAGCCGUCAUUGAAUCCCAACCGAGUGACACAUGAAAUUGAAACAGGAAGACAUAAAUAUUUGACUUUGGGCUCGGGUUUCCCAACAUGGACAGAUCAGUCCAACAGUCUGAGGGACCGGACGUCUGAGGCCCAAACUGUGGGUCGUGGAACGUGUUCUCCCUGUGUGGCUUGUUCUUCAGUUUCCUCUCAGUCCAGAACAUUCUCUAUGUUCACUCUGAAUUGGCCACAGGUGUGAACGUGGGUGUGAAUAGGUGUCAGGACCGACUCCAGAGAACCUUCUUCAGUCGGUUCAUCUCCAACAGAGGUCAUCUCCAACAGAGGUCAUCUCCAACAGAGGUCAUCUCCAACAGAGGUCAUCUCCAACAGAGGUCAUCUCCAACAGAGGUCAUCUCCAACAGAGGUCAUCUCCAACAGAGGUCAUCUCCAACAGAGGUCAUCUCCAACAGAGGUCAUCUCCAACAGAGGUCAUCUCCAACAGAGGUCAUCUCCAACAGAGGUCAUCUCCAACAGAGGUCAUCUCCAACAGAGUUCAUCUCCAACAGAGUUCAUCUCAUCUCCAGGCGUCGUCUUCUACAGUUUCUACCUGAGAACAGCCGACGGUCCAGUCUGGUCCGACUGUAGUCCACGGUCACAGGUCGUGGAUCCUCAGGUCCAGGUUCACCUCCAGAGUCUGACUGAAGAUUGUGAUCCAGUCUAAUGAGAGUUGAGUUCCAGCUCCAGUUCCAGUUCCAGCUCCAGCUCCAGUUCCAGCUCCAGUUCCAGUUCCAGCUCCAGUUCCAGUUCCAGUUCCAGCUGCAGUCCCAGUUCCAGUGGAGAGGAAGCAGCGCUAACGUUGACCUCCUAAAACCAAACCAUCCCAGACUCCCAGCUAGCAGGAGAGCUAAAGGCUAACGGAAGACAUGUCUCCACUCAGAGUCAGCCUUCAGGUCCAGGACGUCAGGACCACCACAGUCAAGUGUCAGUGGAGCUGCAGCGCCAUCCAUCAGCUGUUUGUCAGACGCUGUCAAUCCAGGCGGAGUGAUUUAUGUCAGCUGUAGUGAGGCUGAUUACAUGCCAGUGUGAGUGCGAGGAAAGAACAAAUGAUGGAGAGAGACGAGGAGAAGAGGAGAGGAGAGAGAGAGGAAACAGGAGACAUUGCCCAAUCUUGACAGAGGCGUUCCUAUACCUUCCGGGGCCCCGGGCAGAGGAGCCUAAUGGCCCCCUGUGACCAACAGUCAUGAAACACCAAGUGGAAAACUCAAUCAAUUUAAAUUUUUUAAUUGUCUUGACCACCCUGGUGUUUCUCUGUCUGUGGUUGGUGUGAACAGUCGGUCGUGUCUCCAAGGUGUGACUGACGUACACUAACAUUUAAAUAACUUGUUUAUCCUUCUAAUCUAAUGAAGAGGUUUUCAACAGGGGGCUCCCAGUCCUUGUGUGGUCCAUGUCGGUCCUGCAGGGGGCAGGGGAGGUAGUAUAUUAAAAUAUAUAUAUAUGUGUUUCAGUUAAAAACAUCAAUCUGUGUUAACUUACGAAUAGCAUUAAACUUUUUUAUACAAAAUUUAAAUAAAUCUCUCUCUCUGUCUCUCUCUCUCUCUCUCCAUCAGUUUGUUCGCCCUGAGCCUAAAAAUUGGUAAGAACUUCUGUGUUAAACUCUAUUAUAAAAAAGUCCAUCUUUUUCAGUUUUGCUAAUAUUUGCGUCCUUGACUGUUCUAUCAUGUACAAAGUUACACAGUUAUGUGCUUCAAAUGUAAUUUUAAACAAAGGUUGUUGUGAAUCAAAUAAAACAAAGCAGAUGUUUCACCCACAUGUUUCUGCUUUUUAAAAUAAAGCCAGAAAAUAAUUUUUAUAAAAUAAAUCUAAUCGGACAUGAAAGUGAAAACACACGGUAAAAAAAAGCUUGAAAUCAGUUUAUACGGGCCGGUGCUGUUCAACAUGUGUUUCAGUACAAAGGCCCGUCAGCUUAUCAUUCACACAUUACUCAAAUGUUUUUGUAAUUGUGUGUGGUGUAAAUAAAUAAACAACUUCAUAAAUUAAGUUGUUUUGUGUUGUUGCAUUUUUAAAAUUAAAUGCAUUGUUAAGGAUGUGGAGGAAAAGUGAGCACAGCUGUGAUUCCCUCGCAUGUUUACUGUGUGUGUGUGUGUGUGUGUGUGUGUGUGUGAUUGAUCACAGUCUGGGUGUUUUUCUGCAGCAGGGGGAGGAAGGGGGCGCUGUCAUUCUCUGACACAGUCUGUGAAUUAUUAGGGUAAAGAAGGGCGACCAUAAAUUUAGCCUGUCAGACCCCCAAAAAGAAAAAACAAAAAAAAGAAGGAAAAAAAUCCCUUUACUGUCAGUGUGUGUGUGUGUGUGUGUGAAAUAGUAGUGAUGCUGCUGAUCCACACAUACAAACACAGACUGAUACCUGUAUUACAACCUUAUUUUGAGUAAAAAAAAGUGCAGCAUAAUUUUUUCAAAGCAUUUUGUUUAGUUCAGUGUCAAGUCAUUUCAUGUUUAACCUUUUUUACGGUUAUUUUAGACUGUGUUUUGGUUUCAUUUAGGCUCAUUUUUAUUUGUCUUUCACCUAGUUCAAAGUUAACUCUAGGUUACCAGUUAUCUAUCAGGUUAACAUACCAUUAGCCCUGCCAAGGAUAACUCUUUUUUAAGCUAAUAUUUAGCAACUGUAUCCAUUAAACGGCCACCGUUGACCAAGUCUGUAGAAGGCCUGACGUGGUGCCUCUCUGAAGUGUAGCUCCGCCCCUCGGAUGUGUUUACCAUGACGUCGGUAAAACUAAACUUCACAGUCUUAGCUAACCUCGUUAUUCUACGACUAGUUUCCACUUUUUAAAAGCUAAUAUUUAGCUACUUUUAGUCAAUUAAGGCUUUAUUUAAAUAUUUUGUCCAAAAAAACUAGAUUCAUUAAAUUUCUCCUGGUUAAAAAACAAUGAACUUUGGCAAAACCAAAGUGGCUAUCCAGCUAGCUUUCUCUGCGUUGCUAAAAUUAGCCUUUCUAAUAAAGGGGUGUUUGGUGACGACCGUAACGACCAGGUGUAGAAUCUCCGCUGUUCGUCGUUCACCUCCUCCAUGAUCUAACAUGGCGACGGAUAAACGCCGAUAACGACGUUAGGUUUUAACGACUAACAAAACUCGACGUGAGCAGAGACGCCUGGUGCUGAGGUGAAGAUAAAAAAUACCCAAUAACUUCAUUAACGGUGCCUGAUAUUGUGUCCCCGGGACCCUCCCCCCACAACCCCCC